UGGUAUUCCCAAUGAAAUUGAGUCUCCACUCACGAAAGUCGAGAAUUUGUGAGUGUGAGUGUCAGCUGAGAGUGGAGUUUUCUUGUGAAGACCACUGUUGUCUUUAGUUACACUUUUUCAUUGUGUAAAUAAUUAAUUUAAUAAUUAAAAACGUCCUCUUCUGACGAAUCCACCACCACCGUAAAAGAGUUGGGAACGCCGGUACGUGCCAAACUUCCGGUAAUGACCUCUCUCGAGAAGGAAAUUCUACUGGGAAUAGUCGCGAUUCCUAAAUUUAAGUGUAUAGUUGAAAAUAAAUCAACUAAUUCGAUUUGGACGGCCCAAAAGGACAAAGCCUGGUCCAAGAUCAGCUUGGAGUUUUGUUCCCACUUGAAUGUGACAAAAAGGUCUGGCCCAAAACUGAAGAAAUCGUGGGAAAACUUGAAAAGUCGAGCAAAAAACAGGUUUCGAAAACUAAAAGAAGUCGGGGUAAAACAGGCGGUGGGAAAAACAAAUACGAAAUUUCAUCCGUUUCGGCAAAAGUAGUGUCAAUAGUACCAGCCCAACUUGCCUCUAUAAGCAACCCGUACGAUGACGACGCUGUUACAUCUGAAGAAGAAGCUGGACGAAAGUCCAUUCAAGAGUCGAGCAAGACAUUGGAGCGUGAAGUUAUCAGCUCCAUCCUGGCUGGCAAUAGGUCAGAUAUCGGGCAGGUGUCAAACAUCUCGGGUCGGAUUAGUCCACAGGAACUCUGCACGGGCGGCUUGAAGAAAGUAGUUGCACCACGUUUACACAAACGACGACUUCUGGCCGGACAAGAACUGAUUAUUGAAAUGGAGGAGCAGGCACACGAGAAAAAAUUCAAUAAAAAAUUGACAAUCAUUUCCUUAACUGUUAUGUGAUAGAUUUGUGAAAUUUAUGUGAGCAAAGUCAAAAGAAAUAAAGCGAUUUUUAUAACGGAA